rnacentral:lncRNA from 1 species
GGAUGUGCCCAGAGGGCGCCCUUCCUUCAGAGGCCUCGUUUGCCCGACACUUACGACAGGCCUUAGGACGUAAGGCGUGGACGUGCGUGACGUCACCCUCUGGCCUGCGAGAUGGCGAGGGCAAGUAGCGGGGCCGAUGCUCCCUUGGGAUCCGGGUGUGGCUCGGCUCAGGUAACGCCCGGCCCUAGGACUCCUUCGGCCUCCGCCCACGGGGAGUGCUGAGACUGCCGGCCGGUGUGCUGGCGACCUUUACCCAGGCUUGGUCAAGGCUUCCUGGCUGGCGCAACUGCACUGGCCUCGCAGUGGACGCCUGCUGGUGACCUUUACUCUGUUAAACCAUCUUCCUGCUCUCCCAGUGAGAGCCUCAAAGCUGGGGAAGGUGUACAGUGUUAAUGCAUGCAUAUUUCACAAUGAAUGAAGAACAGAAACCCAAAAUUUUAACUCAGGGAAUGGAUGAACUGGGAGAUGUCUGACUCGACUUAGAAUUUCUGAAGCAUGCACACUAUGGCUAAGUUUCAGACUGAAAAGCCAGAAAAAACAGGUAGAAGUUACAAGAAAGAAAAAGUCUUUUUAGAAACACCACAAAGAAAAUGAUCAACAAUCAAGAACAGACAAAAGCAGAAUGGAUUGGCUGUGUGGAAGGUUUUUGUUUUAUGAGUGUGUGUAUAUGCAUGACUGUAUGUAUGGUACACGUGUGUGCAGUUGCCCUAGGAGGCCAGGAGAGGGCACUGCAUCUUCAGGAACUGGAAUUACUGGUGGUUGCAAGCUGCCUAAUGUAGGAUAUGGGAGCCAGACUCACAUCUUGAGAACCAAACUUGUGUCCGUAGGAAGAACAGCAAGUGCUCUUAACAGAUGAAGUAUCUUUCCAGCCCUACUUUGGAAGUGUUUAAACUGAGAUAAGGUGGCUUUCUGUCUUAAUUCCCUAAGAAUAAAGAAAAAAGUUUGUUGUAUGUGUUUCUACGCAGAUUGUGAAGCCAGAAGUUGACAUUAAACAUCUUCCUUGACCG